rnacentral:rRNA from 1 species
UACGGGAGGCAGCAGUGGGGAAUAUUGCACAAUGGGCGCAAGCCUGAUGCAGCCAUGCCGCGUGUAUGAAAAAGGCCUUCGGGUUGUAAAGUACUUUCAGUCGUGAGGAAGGUGUUAAGGUUAAUAACCUUAGCAAUUGACGUUAGCGACAGAAGAAGCACCGGCUAACUCCGUGCCAGCAGCCGCGGUAAUACGGAGGGUGCGAGCGUUAAUCGGAAUUACUGGGCGUAAAGGGCGCGCAGGCGGUUAAUUAAGUUGGAUGUGAAAUCCCCGGGCUUAACCUGGGAAUGGCAUUCAAGACUGGUUAGCUAGAGUCUUGUAGAGGGGGUAGAAUUCCGAUGUGUAGCGGUGAAAUGCGUAGAGAUGUGGAGGAAUACCGGUGGCGAAGGCGGCCCCGUGGACAAAGACUGACGCUCAUGUGCGAAAGCGUGGGGAGCAAACAGGGAUUAGAUACC